GAGGGUGUAGCUCAGUGGCAGGGCGUAUGCUUAGCAUGCAUGAGGUCCUGGGUUCAAUCCCCAGCACCUCCU
rnacentral:tRNA from 1 species